UCCGAAAUUAGAUUACAUUUUCAAGAACAAUACUGCAAUUACAAGUAGUAGUUAUCGACUACAAAACUACAAAGAAAAAACUCAUAAAAAACUAGGCACAAUACCUGGAAACGGCAAACCGCUAGACUAAAGGGAAACAGAGUAAAACUGCAAUAAACAACAACAACAACUGAAACAACAUUUAUCUAAGCAAAGCAAAAGUUCAGUUUGCCAUUCAUAGAGAAGACAGAUCGCCGCCGACUUCACUCGACUGAACCAUUGGAUUAAUUGCUGCACCAAAGUACAAAUAUGUGAAAAUUAAGGAAUUGGAAAGAGGAUUUCGUGAAUUCAAAUCAUGGUGAAGGAAUGUUUGAUUGCUUCCAUGAAUUCAAUCCAUGGUGAAGUAAUCAUGAAUUGCAUCCAUG
rnacentral:lncRNA from 1 species